UACGUAGGAUGCAAGCGUUAUCCGGAAUCAUUGGGCGUAAAGCGUCCGUAGGUGGCUGUUCAAGUCUGCCGUUAAAGACCGGGGCUUAACCCUGGAAAGGCGGUGGAAACUGAGCGGCUAGAGUGCAGUAGGGGUAGAGGGAAUUCCCAGUGUAGCGGUGAAAUGCGUAGAGAUUGGGAAGAACACCGGUGGCGAAAGCGCUCUGCUGGACUGCAACUGACACUGAGGGACGAAAGCUAGGGGAGCGAAUGGG
rnacentral:rRNA from 1 species